CAGCAGCCACGGUAAUACGAAGGGGGCUAGCGUUGCUCGGAAUUACUGGGCGUAAAGGGGGCGUAGGCGGAUCGUUUAGUCAGGGGUGAAAUCCCGGGGCUCAACCUCGGAACUGCCUUUGAUACUGGCGAUCUUGAGUACGGGAGAGGUGUGUGGAACUCCGAGUGUAGAGGUGAAAUACGUAGAUAUUCGGAAGAACACCAGUGGCGAAGGCGACACACUGGCCCAUUACUGACGCUGAGGCUCGAAAGCGUGGGGAGCAAACAGGAUUAGAUACCCGAGUAGUCCCUGUCUCUUAUAC
rnacentral:rRNA from 1 species